CCUACGGGGGGCAGCAGUGAGGAAUAUUGGUCAAUGGACGGAAGUCUGAACCAGCCAUGCCGCGUGCAGGAAGACGGCCCUAUGAGUUGUAAACUGCUUUUGUACAAGGGUAAACCUGAAUACGGGUAUUCAGCUGAGAGUACUGGACGAAUAAGGAUCGGCUAACUCCGUGCCAGCAGCCGCGGUAAUACGGAGGAUCCAAGCGUUAUCCGGAUUUAUUGGGUUUAAAGGGUGCGUAGGCGGGUGGAUAAGUUAGAGGUGAAAUGUCCGGGCUUAACUCCGGAACUGCCUCUGAUACUGUUGCUCUAGAGAGUGGGUGCGGUAGGCGGAAUGUAUGGUGUAGCGGUGAAAUGCUUAGAGAUCAUACAGAACACCGAUUGCGAAGGCAGCUUACCAAUCUAUAUCUGACGUUGAGGCACGAAAGCGUGGGGAGCAAACAGGAUUAGAUACCCUUGUAGUC
rnacentral:rRNA from 1 species